rnacentral:rRNA from 1 species
CGCGGCCUAUCAGCUUGUUGGUGAGGUAACGGCUCACCAAGGCAUCGACGGGUAGCUGGUCUGAGAGGAUGAUCAGCCACACUGGGACUGAGACACGGCCCAGACUCCUACGGGAGGCAGCAGUGGGGAAUAUUGCACAAUGGGCGCAAGCCUGAUGCAGCAACGCCGCGUGCGGGAUGAAGGCCCUAGGGUUGUAAACCGCUUUCAGCAGGGAAGAAACUGACGGUACCUGCAGAAGAAGGUGCGGCCAACUACGUGCCAGCAGCCGCGGUGACACGUAGGCACCAAGCGUUGUCCGGAUUUAUUGGGCGUAAAGAGCUCGUAGGCGGUUCAGUAAGUCGGGUGUGAAAACUCUGGGCUCAACCCAGAGACGCCACCCGAUACUGCUGUGACUUGAGUACGGUAGGGGAGUGGGGGAUUCCUGGUGUAGCGGUGAAAUGCGCAGAUAUCAGGAGGAACACCAGUGGCGAAGGCGCCACUCUGGGCCGUAACUGACGCUGAGGAGCGAAAGCGUGGGUAGCAAACAGGAUUAGAUACCCUGGUAGUCCACGCCGUAAACGUUGGGCACUAGGUGUGGGUCUCAACCAACGAGAUCCGCGCCGUCGCUAACGCAUUAAGUGCCCCGCCUGGGGAGUACGG